rnacentral:rRNA from 1 species
CACGAACGCUGGCGGCGUGCCUAAUACAUGCAAGUCGAGCGCAGGAAAUCGACGGAACCCUUCGGGGGGAAGUCGAUGGAAUGAGCGGCGGACGGGUGAGUAUCACGUAAAGAACCUGCCCUCAGGUCUGGGAUAACCACGAGAAAUCGGGGCUAAUACCGGAUGGGUCAUCGGACCGCAUGGUCCGAGGAUGAAAGGCGCUUCGGCGUCGCCUGGGGAUGGCUUUGCGGUGCAUUAGCUAGUUGGUGGGGUAAUGGCCCACCAAGGCGACGAUGCAUCGCCGACCUGAGAGGGUGAUCGGCCACACUGGGACUGAGACACGGCCCAGACUCCUACGGGAGGCAGCAGUAGGGAAUCUUCCACAAUGGACGAAAGUCUGAUGGAGCAACGCCGCGUGAACGAUGAAGGCCUUCGGGUCGUAAAGUUCUGUUGUAAGGGAAGAACAAGUGCCGCAGGCAAUGGCGGCACCUUGACGGUACCUUGCGAGAAAGCCACGGCUAACUACGUGCCAGCCGCCGCGGUAAUAC